CCCCCCUCGACGCCCAUUGGGCCGCCCGCUGCGUGACUGCAGGAAGCCCCCGCUGCGGAUUGGUGGGCGAAGGAGCGAGGGGGGGAGAAGGCGGGGCCGCUCCCACCAUUGGGUCGGUUCAAAACCGGGGAGGCGUGGCUCUAGGGGAGGGGAUUGGUGGAGCUGCGCAUGCGCGCGCUGGGGCGGUUGUGACGGUUGGCGCGGUGGCGACCCGCCCCGUUUCGCACGCGCUGAGGCACGUUACGAGCAUGGCGCAGUUCAAGCCGCGCACGUGCGGAGUCCCCCUCCCCCCGCGUAUGGCGGGGCCCUCACACACGCUGCGUGUUACUGCUACUUUUUUUUUUAUAAUUUUUUAAAAAUCGUACUUUUAUUUAAAGUUUUGAAUUGCCCUGUGGGCUUCUUGGCUUGAGGGGCUGAUAGUAACAACACCGAGAUCAAGGUUCCCUCCGAGAAUCUGUCCAGUCCAUUUUUACACCGGACUGAACUUGGUUUCCACACACGACGUGCUGUGUGGAAAAGGAGUUCGUUUUGUUAGUUUUAACGACAUGUCCUGGCCCCUAGCGUGAGAGAAUAAAUAAUAAAUCCCUAUUUAUUAAUUGGGGUUAAGAUGCGCAACUGCUCCCCACAUAGGUGACGCGUAGGGGACCGCCACCGGCUUCGAGCCAUCACCGCUUGCCUCCCCCACUGCCAACGCGGACGCCGGUGUCUGCGGGCGAUCCCUGCUCGCCGCCAUGGCACCCCCCCAGUCUCGAGAGGCCUGAGUCGUUCGUGGCUACCCAGGUACAGAGGAUACUCAGCCAGUAGAAGAGGUGCUGUCCCACUAUACGGAUGAGAGGAUGUCUUUGAUAGUGGAGAUCAAGAUGGCAUGGAGAGGCUGUACCCCUCAUCGUGGUACUGAGUUACUUCUGUAGAGCACUUAAUAGGAGCAUGAGAAGUGGAGACUCACAAAGUCUUUUGAAGUAAACCGGUUACUUUGGAGAGUGAGGAACUGCAUGAGUUGCUAUCUGAAGGAACCAGAAACAUGCAUGCGAACGGCAUCAGAGCCAGAGAAAUGCCUGGCUGAGUUCCUGCUCUCCUGGGCGUGCAGGCUAUUGGCCAGGAAAGUGAACGCAGGAACAGGAAGCAUCCUUAAUGCAUCUUCCCCUUACAACUCUGCCUUGGGAAGCAGGGAUUGGAGUCUAACUGCGGCUCUGAGUGAUGUUACCAGCGUAACAAUCGCUAUUUUAGCCAUUGGCAGCACCACAGUGUUGAAGUAAACACUGAAACAGGUGUGCACAGUGGUAGGGGUGUGGCCACUUCACCUUUACGAUGUACCCAUGGCUUAACCUUUGGACUAGCCCCAAGAGUGCUUCCCAACCUGACUUUGAGGGAUCCAAGAGGGACCUGGAGCCUUCGUUCUGCUAACGAGAGCCAUCACACCCAGAGCAUGCAUUUGAACAGGAUGUGAGAAGUGCUCCCCAGAGGAUUAGCUCUGCUAACGGAGGAGGCAGCCCCUAGGGAGUUUCUCUUGAAUCUGCGACUAGGAUCUGAUGUCUUUGGAUUUUUUGAUUUUUUUCCUUGUGCUGCACAAGUAGAGGACUGUACCUGCAGUGCCACCUUGGGCUGCUUCAUAUUCUUUGUGGGGCUUGGAGGCCAAUGUGUGAGAUAAAAGGGAGUGUGUGAGGAUGCUGAUGGUGCUGCUGUGAAACAGUCAGAGCUGCACCCCUACCUGGCAGAUCCUAUGAUUGGGAAUGUGCAGAGGUCACUGGAUCUACAUGGACAUAGUGAAGCUACAGAUGAACUACAGAUGCAACAAAACAAAUGGGCUAUGGCCCAGUCUAAUUCUGGAAAACGGUCCACUGUUAAUUCUUGAUCCUACCUCCGCAAGUUUGGGUAACCGCAAUUACACCCAACUUGUCUACGGGGAUCAUUUUAAAAUGAACUCUAUAGGUAAAUCAGAAAGACAAGCAACGCACAAGUGGCAAGGCCCCAAGGAGGGGGACGGUGACAUUUGUACAUGUAAGGAAAACCCCUUGCCAGCUGGAGACAGGAGACUUCCAGAUGAUGACUCAUAUUCGUCCUUUUGGGUGAAGGCUCCUUCCUCUUCCACAGCUCGACCUCCCAUCAGAGCACACUAUCAGAGGGUAACGUUGGUUGCCGGACAAAUAAGUGCAGGUGGGAUGUGCAGGUGAGCUCUGUAGAAGUGAGGGGCAGGGGAAUAAACUUAUAUGUAACAUCACAAGGACAAAGGACGUUGGAGAAGAUACUAAUUCUCUUUCAUAGCACUUGCCCUCCACUUUCCUCACAAGGAAUCACCAUAAUUAAAUUGCUAGUUCCAGCUACUCCCAUCAGGUGGGCAUUAGCAUUUUGCUUCAUUUUACCUAUGUGAAAUGUCAGGCUAUUAGCAUGGACUGUUGUGGGAGGAAGGGGCAAGUUUAAAAGGGGAGUCAGAGUUCUGGGUGAGUUUAUAAAGGCUUUGGUUUGAAGAAUACUGUUGGGAACAUUAAGUGGGUAGUACUGUGAACUGAAGGGGGACUCUGGAUUUUUAUGUCUAACAGGUAUUUAUUUCACAAACUGAGCUACUUUCCGUUUUUUGAUUUUGGCUUUUUUUAAUCUUUUAAAAUUCUUGUUCAUUUUGUUAACACCCCCAAACUGAACAUUUGCAUGCCUUUAAUUUUGUGAUGCAACAGCAACUUAUUACCAGUUUUAUUAUACAGGUGUGUGAUUGUUCUGAUUUAGAUUUAACAAUACAGCAAAAAAAGCACAAAGGUGGUGCAUGUGUACAGCAAACAAGGAUGGGUGUCAUGUUUCUGAAAAUAGAGAAUGCUGUUUUAGGAGUAUUUAUAGAACAUAUAUUAGGGCUCAAGAGGUCAUGUAGUCCAGCCCCUGUUCAAGGUGGGAUCAUCCCUGACUAAACCACCCCAGCCAAGCAUGUGUCUAACCUGCUCUCGAACGUUUCCAGGGAUGGAGAUUCCACAUCCUUUCUAGGCUGCCUGUUCCAAUGAUCACUAGCCUUGUAAUGAGGAAGUUCCUCCUAAUCUCCAACCUAAAUUUCCCCUGCUGCAGUUUGAACCCGUUGCUCCUAGUCUUUCCCCUACGGCCACAGAGAAUAGUUGAUCUUCAUCAAUAGUUGAAGACAAUCAUCAAAUCUCCCUUCAGUCUUCUCUUCUCCAGGCUAAACAAUCCUAAUUCUUGCAGCCUUUCCUCAUAAAUCAUGUCUGCCAGGCCUCUGUUGUUUUGUCCAUCUCCACUGGUCUCUGUCUACUGUGCCAACACCUUUAUUCAAGUGUGGGGCCCAACACUGGACACAGUACUCCAAGGGAGGCCUUGCCAGCGUUGAACAGAGCAAAAGAAUCACUUCUCUUGAUUUGCAAGCAACACUCCUGUUAAUAUAACUCCAUCGGCCUAUUUUUCCAACCAGAAUACUGUUGGCUUCUGUUCAGCUCCACUAUAACCCCAGAUCCUUCUCCGCAGCACUGCAGCCUCGCCAGUCAUUCCCCACUCUGUAUUUGGGCAUGUGACUGUUCCAUCCCCAUCACAGGACUUUGCACCUGUCCUUGCUGAAUCUCAUCUGACUGACUGGACCAUUUUUCCAUCAUCCAGGUCAUUUGGGAUCCUAGCCAUACCCUCCAGCAUUUGCAACUCCACCCAGCUUGGUGUCAUCUACAAAUUUGCUAAGCGUGCACUCAAUCCCGUUGCCCAAAUCCAUUAAUGAAGAUAUUAAGUAAUACCAGAUCUAGGACAGACCCUUGGGGAACUGCACUUGAUACCUCCUCCCAACUAGGCUGAGCCAUCUCCACACAUCAGCUCUCUGUGACAAUAUUUUCCCAGGAUUAUGUAACAGGAUUGUAAUGCUUUGAU